GAUCCUGGCUCAGGACGAACGCUGGCGGCGUGCUUAACACAUGCAAGUCGAACGAGAAUCUAAUGACGGAGUUUUCGGACAACUGAUUUAGAGGACAGUGGCGGACUGGUGAGUAACGCGUGAGGAACCUGCCUUUCAGAGGGGGACAACAGUUGGAAACGACUGCUAAUACCGCAUGAUGUGUAACUGGGACAUCCCGGAUACACCAAAGAUUUAUCGCUGAAAGAUGGCCUCGCGU
rnacentral:rRNA from 1 species